GACGAACGCUGGCGGCGUGCUUAACACAUGCAAGUCGAACGGAAAGGCCCUGCUUGCAGGGUACUCGAGUGGCGAACGGGUGAGUAACACGAGGGUGAUCUGCCCUGCACUUCGGGAUAAGCCUGGGAAACUGGGUCUAAUACCGGAAAGGAGCCAUCUUUAGUGUGAUGGUUGGAGAGUUUUUUCGGUGUAGGAUGAGCUCGCGGCCUAUCGGCUUGUUGGUGGGGUAAUGGCCUACCAAGGCGGCGACGGGUAGCCGGCCUGAGAGGGUGGACGGCGACACUGGGACGGCGAUACGGCCCAGCCGCCGACGGGAGGAAGCAGUGGGGAAUGUUGGACAAUGGGCGCAAGCCUGAUGCAGCGACGCCGCGUGGGGGAUGACGGCCUUCGGGUUGUAAACUCCUUUCGCUAGGGACGAAGCUUUUUGUGACGGUACCUAGAUAAGAAGCACCGGCUAACUACGUG
rnacentral:rRNA from 1 species